GGGAAAGGGAAACAGUCCAGGAAGUGAAGGUCAGAUAGCGGGUCGGGUUUUUUUUGCUCCUUUCUUGUGUAAUUUGGCUGCGAGGUGCCCCUUGCUGUGUCCUCACAGUCUUGGGAGUGACUGUCGAGUUUCUAUUCCAGCAGCGGCGUCUCCACCCGGAGCAAUUCCGGACGUCGCCGUUCUGGGUCGGAUUGACUUCGAAGCCUCAUGUUGCCUGAGCAAGAAGCCCAGCAGGGGAGGAGGAGGAAGAGGAAGGAAGGCCAGGAGUCAGGAAUGGCUGUUUCUCAGGACGGCCCUGUUCUGACUGGCCGCAUCUCAAGGACUCAGGAGGAACAGGUGACCUUCGAGGACGACGUGGCCAUCAGUUUCACUCGGGAGGAGUGGGACUGCCUGGACCCUGCUCAGAGGGCCUUGUACAAGGACGUGAUGCUAGAGACCUACAGGAACCUCAUCGCCGUGGG
rnacentral:lncRNA from 1 species